ensembl:lncRNA
UAGAGCUCUUCCCAAACUACUUUUUCUUGUGUUUGGAGCGUAAACGAGAGCAGGCCUGUCUGGCUGAAGCUGAGAGGAAAUACAAAGAAGUCAUGGAGGCCAAUGCUCAGUUGGAGAAAGAGAAGUCUGACCUGCAGUCCCAGGUGAACACACUGCAAGGCUCAGUGCAGCAGCUGAAGGAAGAGCACUCUGAGACACGCAUGAAGUGUGAUGAAAUGCUGGUCUCUCUGGCUGCAGCUGACAACCUGUAUGAGGAAGCGAUGCAGUCCAAGGCUAAGAUGAAGAAUGAAAUAUUGGACCUGAAGUACCACUUGCACACACUGCGAGACUCAGUGCGGGAGCUGGAGAUAAUGCUCUCUGAUGGAGAGAUGCACUGCGACGCUAUAAAGCAGGUAAGUCAAUCCCUGCAUUAGGCAGUUGAAAUAAAGUGAGAAAUUGUGAAUGAGGAGUUACACCACAAGCUAUUCAGUGUGUACCUGUACAUACUUUUAGUAUAAGAUGCUAGAUGUUGUAUUGAAUGGAAGAGGCCCAUUGUAGACGCGAACAUUAAGCUCUCAAGGUUGCAACCUCUUCUGCUGUGUUUUAGGAGACAGAACAAGAGCGGGAGGCUUACUGUAUCCUGAAGAUGCAAUACAAAAAGAUGAAGGAAACUAUUCAGAGGUUCAGAGAGCUACUAAUUGUAAGUUUUUCCUCUCACCAAGUCAUCACUGCUGUAGCACACCAUGUGCAAG